rnacentral:rRNA from 1 species
UUAGCUCAAGGGGGACGGGUAGUAAACUAAGAACUCCCUCCAGGAGGGGGAAAAGUUGGAAACGACGCUAACCCCCAUAUCGCUUCUAGUGUACGGUCCCUCGCCUAAAGAGAUGUUGCGGCUCGAUAGCUUGUUGGUAGGGUAAAGCCUACCAAGGCGACGAUCAGUAUCUGGUUUGAGAGGAUGAUCAGACACACUGGAACUGAGACACGGUCCAGACUCCUACGGGAGGCAGCAGUAGGGAACCCUCCGCAAUGGGCGAAGCCUGACGGAGCAAUACCGCGUGAGGGACGAUGCCUAUGGGUCGUAAACCUCUCCCCUCAGGGAGGAAUCAAUGACGUGUACCUGAAGAAUAAGCAUCGGCUAACUCCGUGCCAGCAGCCGCGGUAAGACGGAGGAUGCAAGUGUUAUCCGGAAUCACUGGGCGUAAAGCGUCUGUAGGUGGUUAAAUAAGUCAACUUGUUAAAUCUUGGAAGCUUCAACUUUCAAAAUCGCAGUCGAAACUAUUUAGACUAGAGUAUAGUAGAAGGUAAAGGGAAUUUUCCAGUGGAGCGGUGAAAUUGCGUAGAGAUUUGGAAAGAACACCGAUGGCGAAGGCACUUUUACUGGGGCUAUUACUGACACUCAGAGACGAAAGCUAGGGUAGCAAAUGGGGAUUAGAUACCCCCAGUAGUCCUAGCCGUAAACAAU